rnacentral:rRNA from 1 species
UACGUAGGGUGCAAGCGUUGUCCGGAAUUAUUGGGCGUAAAGGGCUCGUAGGCGGUUUGUCGCGUCGGGAGUGAAAACUCAGGGCUUAACCCUGAGCCUGCUUCCGAUACGGGCAGACUAGAGGUAUGCAGGGGAGAACGGAAUUCCUGGUGUAGCGGUGAAAUGCGCAGAUAUCAGGAGGAACACCGGUGGCGAAGGCGGCACCCUGGACCGGUAUUGACGCUGAGGCGCGAAAGCGAGGGGAGCAAACGGG